rnacentral:rRNA from 1 species
UACGAAGGGGGCUAGCGUUGCUCGGAAUCACUGGGCGUAAAGGGUGCGUAGGCGGGUCUUUAAGUCAGGGGUGAAAUCCUGGAGCUCAACUCCAGAACUGCCUUUGAUACUGAGGAUCUUGAGUUCGGGAGAGGUGAGUGGAACUGCGAGUGUAGAGGUGAAAUUCGUAGAUAUCAGGAGGAAGAUCGAAAGCGAAAGCAAUUCUCUGGCACUUUACUGACGCUGAUGUGCGAAAGCGUGGGGAGCAAAAGGG